rnacentral:rRNA from 1 species
UUGAAAGGGAAACGAUUGAAGUCAGUCGUGCUGGCGCGAAAUCAACCUUCUCGUCUUGAGAUCACAUGGCGUGGCGAGCCUCAAAACCGUCACGAAGCGUGAACUCUUGGUGAAAUGGAGCACUUUCGUGUCCGCUGGUAACAUCAAUUUCGAACGUCAUAAAAAGGCUGGGAGGGAUGUGGCUCCUUCGGGAGUGUUAUAACCUUUAGGGAAUGUGGUGUUCGGGAUUGAGGAUUGCAACGAAUACCUUUAGGGCUGUUCCACCUGGCUUCUCUUUGGUAUCCUGGUGACGACAGCUUGCUGACGUNUAGGAUUCGCCUUUGAACAGGCUAGAGUGGAGCAAAUUCGUUAAGGAUGUUGACGUA